CGGACGAACGGAACGGGUACGGACGUGGUCGUGAGAGGAGUGAUCAGCCACACCUGGAACGUCGAGACACGGUCCAGACUCCUACGGGAGGCAGCAGUGGGAAUAUUGCGCAAUGGGCGAAAGCCUGACGCAGCCACGCCGCGUGAGCGAUGAAGGUCUUCGGAUCGUAAAGCUCUGUGGGGGAGAAGAAGAAAGUCGGUGAAGAGCCGACCCUGACGGUAUCCCCUUAGCAAGCACCGGCUAACUCCGUGCCAGCAGCCGCGGUAAUACGGAGGGUGCAAACGUUGCUCGGAAUCAUUGGGCGUAAAGCGCGCGUAGGCGGCUGAACAAGUUGGAUGUGAAAGCCCUGGGCUCAACCUAGGAUGUGCAUUCAAAACUGUUCGGCUUGAGUCUCGGAGGGGGUCAGAGAAUUCUCGGUGUAGAGGUGAAAUUCGUAGAUAUCGGG
rnacentral:rRNA from 1 species